CAAGGAGAGCCACCUCUAUGACUUCUUGGCCCCAUCUUGGGGCCAGGUAACAAAGAUGAAUGACCAUCAUCCAACUCUCUGGGUGCUGGGUGUGGCCGAGGGGUCAGCUCUAACACAGAAUUGCAGAGGCACGUGUGAAGGAGAUCGAGAAGGGACUCUCCUUUUGUAACACAACGGGCUGAGUGCUUACAGUGGGAGCAUGAACACAGAGUGGAGGGAACCUGGGACAGGCAGGGAUGGCAGUGAAGAUGGCAUCUGCUAUGAGUGUUGACAGGUAUGUGGAUCAUUAACAAAAUACAGCAGCAAUUCUCAACCAGGGGUGAUUUUGCUCCCCCAGGGGAUAUUUAUCAAUGUCUAGAGACAUUUUUAGAUGUCACAACUUGAAGUUUGCUACUGGAGUCUAGUGCGUAGAGGCCAGAGAUGCUGUUGAAGAUCCUACAGUGCACAGGACGGCCCUCACAAGAAUUUUUCAACCCAAUAUGUCAACAGUGCCAAGGUUGAGAAACCCAUACACAGUAAGGCCUUAUUGACCAGAAGUUGAGAAACAGCAGUUAUAAAGACCAUGCAUGUGACUCCAGAUAAGAGGUGAGAUGUUUCUUCCCAUGGACACACAGUUGUUGUGAAAAAUAUUACAGAUAAGAGCCCUGAAGAUUCACCAGAAAUGACAGCUAAGAGCAGAAAAUGUGGGAUGAUUAUUUGUUAAUACGACUGCGAAGGAGUUAACUAUGGCCAGUGCUGUGGUCUGAAUGUGUUACCCUUAAAUUCAUAUGUUGAAACUUGAUCACCAGUGUGAUGGUAUUAAGAGGUAGGGCCUUUAGGAAAUGAUUAAGUCAUGAGGGCAGAUCCUUCAUGAAUGGGAUUAAUGACCUCAUAAAAGAGGUCUAGGGAGCUAUCUGUCCCUUUGUCCUUCCAUCCCUUCUGCCAUGUGAGAACACAGCUGCAUCCUCUUCAGAGGGUGCAGCCAUAAGACACCCUCUUGGAAGCAGAGAGCAGCCUUCGCCAGACACUGAAUCUGCUAGUGCCUUGAUUUUGGACUUCCCAGCCUCUAGAACUGUGAGCAAUACACUUCCGUUCUUUGUAAAUUACUCAGUCUAAGGUGUUUUGUUAUAGCAGCAGGAGUGGAACAAGACAGCCACUGUUUAAGAACAGAAUGUCUUCUAGAAAUAACUGAUAUGUGCACAGUACUUAAUAGCUUUUAUGGAGUGCUUUGUUACAUCUGAUCAAAAACAUUGAAAACACUUUUUAACCAAAAUAGCAACAUCAACAACAAAACCCACAGGCUGUGGCAUGUAAAAGUUUAGUUAAAUUUUGCUGGAAAAUAACUCAGACAAAUGUUAUAUAAAUAUAUUGCAGUUUUCUGCAUUGUUAGGUGACAGAAAUGACUGCAUAAAAUCAUUUUGUUUACUUCAAAAACUUGUAUUUAUUGUGUUCUCUGGCAAGUAAUGCAGGAUAUUAAUGGGGAUGCUGCAUAAUACAUGCAAGAGAAAAAAAGGAAGAAACCCAUCAUUUACAUAUCUGGAGAGAAAUGCUGCUACCAUCUUGAUGAAUAAAAUCAAUACCUUUAUUAUACAUGGCUAUCAAUUACACAUAUAUCUUGUGAUGCUUCAAUAUAUACAUAUAUGUAUAUAUACAUAUAUAAACAUCUUCCCACCUAAGUAUUCAUAUACAACACCACAUCAGUUUUGAUGGCUGAAUGGCAGUGCUAUACUUUGUAACCAUUUUUAUUGUAGUCAAUGGUGUGGUGAACAUCAGGUGUUGUCUUUAGAUAAUGUAAACUUGACAGACAGACUGCCAUUUGAGAAAGGCUUUUGGUGGCAUUUUUAUUGUUGUUCUUGGCAAGAACAUCCCAAGUCCGUCCUGCAUUCU
rnacentral:lncRNA from 1 species